rnacentral:rRNA from 1 species
UCGGGAGAAGAACCAACAGGGAUUGCCCUAGUAACGGCGAGUGAAGCGGCAACAGCUCAAAUUUGAAAUCUGGCGUAAGCCCGAGUUGUAAUUUGUAGAGGAUGCUUCUGGGUAGCGGCCGGUCUAAGUUCCUUGGAACAGGACGUCAUAGAGGGUGAGAAUCCCGUAUGUGACUGGCUUGCACCCUCCACGUAGCUCCUUCGACGAGUCGAGUUGUUUGGGAAUGCAGCUCUAAAUGGGAGGUAAAUUUCUUCUAAAGCUAAAUACCGGCCAGAGACCGAUAGCGCACAAGUAGAGUGAUCGAAAGAUGAAAAGCACUUUGGAAAGAGAGUUAAAAAGCACGUGAAAUUGUUGAAAGGGAAGCGCCCGCAACCAGACUUUGCGGCGGUGUUCGGCUGGUCUUCUGACCGGUUUACUCGCCGCCGUGAGGCCAUCAUCGUCUGGGACCGCUGGAUAAGACCUGAGGAAUGUAGCUCCCUUCGGGGUGUGUUAUAGCCUCUGGUGAUGCAGCGCGUCUCGGGCGAGGUCCGCGCUUCGGCAAGGAUGAUGGCGUAAUGGUUGUCGGCGGCCCGUCUUGAAACACGGACCAAGGAGUCUAACAUCUAUGCGAGUGUUCGGGUGUCAAACCCCUACGCGUAAUGAAAGUGAACGGAGGUGGGAACUUUUUGUGCACCAUCGACCGAUCCUGAUGUCCUCKGAUGGAUUUGAGUAAGAGCAUAGCUGUUGGGACCCGAAAGAUGGUGAACUAUGCCUGAAUAGGGUGAAGCCAGAGGAAACUCUGGUGGAGGCUCGCAGCGGUUCUGACGUGCAAAUCGAUCGUCAAAUUUGGGUAUAGGGGCGAAAGACUAAUCGAACCC